UACAGAGGUCUCAAGCGUUGUUCGGAUUCAUUGGGCGUAAAGGGUGCGUAGGCGGCGCGGUAAGUCGGGUGUGAAAUCUCGGAGCUUAACUCCGAAACUGCAUUCGAUACUGCCGUGCUUGAGGACUGGAGAGGAGACUGGAAUUUACGGUGUAGCGGUGAAAUGCGUAGAUAUCGGAAGGAAGACCAGUGGCGAAGGCGGGUCUCUGGACAGUUACUGACGCUGAGGCACGAAGGUCAGGGGAGCAAACGGG
rnacentral:rRNA from 1 species